UCACAACAAUAGCACAAUGAGGAAGUUACCUUUUUAUGGUCUUGUUCACUUUAUAGAUCACUCACUCAGGUAUACAGGUGUCACAGUUCAGUUGUGAGGAUUUCCAGAAACAGGAAAGAAACUGUUCUUCCUGCUGCUGCUUCUGAUCUGCUCACAAAUCAGAUGGAGGCAGAUAAAGAUAGAGAUACUGCUAACCAGCACAUCGCACUCCAGCAACCCUAUCCUCAGGACAUCCACGCUGUGCUGAGAGAGCUGACCGCCGCAUUGGCUGAACAGAGGGUGAAGAUUGCAUUCCUAGAAAAAGAGAAUCAAGACCAUGUGACAAAACUGAAAGAACUGGAAAAAAAGGAGAUUGAGACUGACAAGAAGUUGCAGCAGCUACAAGGUUUCCCUGUAGAGGCUGUCACACCUCGUCUCACCCACUGCACCACAAAGAAAUGAGAAUCCUCAGAAAAAUGGACCUGAAGAAGGAGCUGCUGACCGUCUUCUACCGCUGCUCCAUUGAAAGUGUGCUGACAUAUUGCAUCGGUGUAUGGUUCUCCAGCUGCACCACAGCACACAGAAAGGCACUCCAGAGGGUCAUCAAUAUGGCCCAAAAAAUCAUUGGACAUCCUCUUCCCUCCCUGAAGGACCUGUACAGCA
ensembl:lncRNA